AGGACGAACGCUGGCGGCGUGCUUAACACAUGCAAGUCGAGCGGAAAGGCCCUUCGGGGUACUCGAGCGGCGAACGGGUGAGUAACACGUGAGUAACCUGCCCCUAGCUCUGGGAUAGCUCCGGGAAACCGGGAUUAAUACCAGAUACGACCACUUUAGACAUCUGUCGUGGUGGAAAGGAUUCCGGCUAGGGAUGGGCUCGCGGCCUAUCAGCUUGUUGGUGGGGUAACGGCCUACCAAGGCGACGACGGGUAGCCGGCCUGAGAGGGCGACCGGCCACACUGGGACUGAGACACGGCCCAGACUCCUACGGGAGGCAGCAGUGGGGAAUAUUGCGCAAUGGGCGAAAGCCUGACGCAGCGACGCCGCGUGGGGGAUGAAGGUCUUCGGGUUGUAAACUCCUGUCAUUUGGGAACAAUGCGCAAAUAUUAACUGUAUUUGCGUUGAUAGUACCAGAAGAGGAAGGGACGGCUAACUCUGUGCCAGCAGCCGCGGU
rnacentral:rRNA from 1 species